rnacentral:misc_RNA from 1 species
GAUGAAGAACGCAGCGAAAUGCGAUAAGUAGUGUGAAUUGCAGAAUUCAGUGAAUCAUCGAAUCUUUGAACGCACAUUGCGCCCCUUGGUAUUCCAUGGGGCAUGCCUGUUCGAGCGUCAUUUGUACCUUCAAGCUCUGCUUGGUGUUGGGUGUUUGUCUCGCCUCUGCGCGUAGACUCGCCUCAAAACAAUUGGCAGCCGGCGUAUUGAUUUCGGAGCGCAGUACAUCUCGCGCUUUGCACUCAUAACGACGACGUCCAAAAGUACAUUUUUACACUCUUGACCUCGGAUCAGGUAGGGAUACCCGCUGAACUUAAGCAUAUCAAUAAGCGGAGGA